ensembl:lncRNA
AUGAAUGUCUUUAAAAAGGGCAGUUGUCCAGUAAUUUCAAGGUGCACCAGGUGUGUACCAUGUUACCAUUAUAACACAGCACAGAAUAAGAACAUGGAGGACAGCCUAAGAAAAAUUGUAUCACCAAGUGAUCAGUUAACCUUCAAUGGUUAUGGUCUGAUAGUACUUGGUACACCUCCACAGUCCCUAAAUGAUAGUGAAAGACACACCUGUGAUAUUACACAAAUAGACCAAGUACACUACCCCAGCCAAGGUUCAGUGAUUGACAUGACAGCCCUACGAAAUGUGCAGCCAAACAGGGCAUGCUGGAUCCAUCCACAAAGCAGUGACCAAAUAUUGAUGAUAAAAAAUGCUUUAAAUGAAAAGGAAUCACAACAACAAUUUUUGGCACAAGUAGGAGUACCAAUUCUGAACAGAUCAGAUUUUUUUUUACCUUGGGACAUCCAAAUGAUGUUGAAGGGACUGUG